rfam:Fukomys damarensis contig125714, whole genome shotgun sequence.
GGGAAAUAGGAUGUGGGGCCAGCCUCAGGCCCCAACAAACAAUGGGGCC